CAUGGAUAUGACAGCUGGGGCUCUAGUAGCUAUCUUGGGUCAUCAGACAACUUUGAGGGUGAAAGCCAUAGACUAAAGAUGAUGAAGCAUAGAGACAGAAGAAUUCUGGGUCCCUCAUGACUAUGAAAAUGCCACACCAAUCCUGGAUUUCCAACCUCCAACUUAUUUUUAAGAGAGAAAAACCUCAGGCUGGUCUGGCAUGGUCUCCUAGCAAGGCUGAGGUGCAAGCGCAAGCAAGUACAAUCAAGCAGGGAAACAAGCCGAAUCAGUUUCCAGACCAACUCACCUCUCUCUUCACCACCAUCCUCAGAGCCCUAACAGCCAGACACAGUCUGAACCUGUGCCUCAUGAAGAAGGGUCCCUCCUUCCUCUCUCCAAACAAGUGCUGGCUUAAGGAUCAUAGAAUGCCAUUUCAGGAAAUUGUG